GGUUUGACAUCUCGAGAACCCUUCUUAAUCGAAGGGGUGCCUUAGGGAACUCGAAGACAGGUGGUGCAUGGCUGUCGUCAGCUCGUGUCGUGAGAUGUUGGGUUAAGUCCCGCAACGAGCGCAACCCUCGUUCUUAGUUGCCAGCAUUUAGUUGGGCACUUUAGGAAGACUGCCGGUGACAAACCGGAGGAAGGUGGGGAUGACGUCAAGUCAGCAUGCCCCUUACACUCUGGGCUACACACGUACUACAAUGGUUGGGACAAAGGGCAGCAAACUCGCGAGAGUAAGCGAAUCUCAGCAAACCCAGCCUCAGUUCAGAUUGCAGGCUGCAACUCGCCUGCAUGAAGGAGGAAUCGCUAGUAAUCGCAGGUCAGCAUACUGCGGUGAAUUCGUUCCCGG
rnacentral:rRNA from 1 species